rnacentral:rRNA from 1 species
CAGCCGCCGCGGUAAUACGUAGGGUGCGAGCGUUAAUCGGAAUUACUGGGCGUAAAGCGUCCGUAGGUGGCUUUUCAAGUCCGCCGUCAAAUCCCAGGGCUCAACCCUGGACAGGCGGUGGAAACUACCAAGCUGGAGUACGGUAAGGGCAGAGGGAAUUUCCGGUGGAGCGGUGAAAUGCGUUGAGAUGUGGAGGAACACCAGUGGCGAAGGCGACUCUCUGGUCUGUAACUGACGCUGAGGAGCGAAAGCGUGGGGAGCGAACAGGAUUAGAUACCCCAGUAGUCCCUGUCUUUAUACA